AUGGGGAACUACACACGGGGUCACUCCUUCGCACAACGCUGUAGAGCUGUGGCGCAUCAUCACACUUCUGACAACUGCAAUUGUUUUUACACAAACUGUAGAGGAGUAGAAGCAAGACAGCGAGUUCACAGGGACUUUCCAGAGCGAGAAACCCCUAGAAAACUGGCACAGUCGGGCACAAUGAAGACAAUUGCCGCUUUCUGUUGCCUUCUGUCUGUAGCCGUGUGGGCAGCAGGCGCCAACAUAAACGUGGAGGGAACGGAGGGUGGAGAAGUCACGGUUGUGUGUCAACACAAGCUGGCCUCGAAGAACACAAAGGGCUUCUGCAGGGACCCAUGUGCAGGCAGCGCUGAUAUUCUGGCUACUGUACAGUCCGGUACAGUGGCGAAAACAGGGAGAAUCACUCUGGUGGACCAGGGCACCGGAGCGUUCAGCGUGACCAUCAGCCCCCUCCAGCUGUCGGAUGCUGGGACGUACUGGUGCUCAGUGGACAGAACUCUGUUUACAACGUACACUGCAGUUUACCUGACCGUCAAGAAAGCUGCUACAACAGUUGCGGCUGAUGUUUCUUUCACGUGGACAGAGGCAGAAACAUUCAGCUCCACACAGCCAGUGCCUGAAACGGACACGGGUGGACCUGCACACGUUUCAACCUGGAACUACUCUAACACAGGCGAUGGCGGCUCAAGCACAGUGAGCUUCAGGAAAUGCAGAAAAGUCUCUGAACCUCAGCCUCAGGUUUCCAGCAGCAGUGGCACAGAUCUCAGAGCGGUGAGUGAAACAGUGUCACUGAUGAUCUCUCUUCAUGGCCAAGUGCCCUCGCUUUUCUUCCUGGAGAAAUAUGACAAACACUGUGACAGCAAAUUAAAUAGCACGAAUGGCAACAAAGUUUCUUUUCCUGGUUUUAAAUGUCAACAUGUGAAGAGGGAUUAUCCAAAAGUCCCCAUGUACCACCGUGGGUGGAAAACUUUAAAACCACAGCCAACCACAAAUACAGCACUAAAGCAACAGACAAGAACAAAAUAACAGACAGGUUGGAUUUUAUACUGUAGCUGGUUCCUCCUGCUUCUGGUGGUUUGUUAAAAGGAACAAAGGUCUGUAAACAAAAAGGCAAAUAAGCAACAAGUCGUGAAUAUAUAUAUUGUGAAUAAGCGAUUUAUUGUAUAUUAUUGUGAAAGUUUUGCUAUUUGAUUUUGAAGUUUGACAUUCAUUUCAAACUCUUUUCUUUUUCAAACACUGAUAAACAGCCUACAAAAAACCCACCUGAGAUGACGUGUGCUCAGCGGCCCAACCUGCAUCCAACAACAACAUCCGGAGGCACAGCGGCUGAGGAGAGGCCGCACUCUCCCAUUUACGAAAACUCCUGCAUCUUCAGAGAGAACACAGACCCGAGACAAUCAGCUGCAAACGCCCGGAGCCCCCACGACAACGCAUCCAGGAUCUACAUCAGGCCUUUGCCUCCCAUAGUGUGUGAGCAGAGCCAGGAGAGCGCAGCUAGAAAACACAGAAAGAAAACAGCAGAGAGCGACGGAGCAGAGCCCAACGUCAGAGCAUCAGAGCCCCAGAAACUUUGGUUUGGUUUGGAUUUAUCAGGAACAAUCUGAGACGGGAUUUCUGAUGGAUCGUUGAACUGUACUGGAUUUUUUUCCCCAAGCGUGUAGAAGAAAAUAAAGUUACAAUAAGUGAAGUUGUGAAGAAAAAA
ensembl:lncRNA CMRF35-like molecule 1